GAAACAGUACAUUAGGAUAACUCUGAAGAAAUGUGUCUGCGAUGAAGUCAAAAGAGAAGGAGCUGGAGGCCCCGGGAGUGCAGACGGCAUUUCAGUGCUCACAGGAGAGCGUCCGUAGAUGGCGAGGACAGAGAAGGGGUUACCAGGGCUUCCAAAACCGCGAGAAAUAAAUGUCUGUGUCUAAACCCCAACCCUACCACCUCAACUGCCGUGUGUGGUGUUUUGUGAUGGCAGCCCCAGCUGACUGAGACACCUGGUUAGACCGGAAUAAGCAGUACCUGAGUCCCUUAAGAGUGGCCAAAGAAGAAAGAAUCCACUGAGUUGACAUUCCAGUUCAGCUGCAAUCGGUAGCAGUCACCAUUGAACAUCCUUGAAGCAAUUCUUCCAAAAUUACCUUGCAUCAAAGACUGCACAAGAACUGCUCUAAGCGGAAGGACUGAUGUCGGCAACCAGGGUUCCACCAGGGGCUGCAGACAGCCCUUGACCUUCAGGUGGGAAGGUGUCACUGAGUUCAGACCCUCUGGCAAUCCCUAGCUAUCAACAUUUUGAUAAGAAAAUAAGUGGAAAGGUAGAACUGGAAGAUUUUGCUGAAAGAUUGGACAUGGCAUUCAGAGAAACAGAGGUUUUAAUGACAAACUCCAAGUUUUUGGCUGGAGCAACUGGAAGAAUGAGGUUGCCAUGAACCGAAAAGAGAGAUUGCAGAAGUAACCAAAUUUACUCACGUAGGCCAGGAAUUUCUAUGACGUGUUCCAAAUUCAGCCUCUCACUGAACACUUCCAGAGCAAGGCAACAUAAACAUCUGCAAGAAGAACAUUGUGUGAGAAAUAUCAAGUGAGAGUGGAAGAGUCUGCGGAGGGCCUCCCUGGGGCUCACCUGUGCUUUUGCCUGAGCUUCACCGUGUCAAGGAUGCAGCACUUUUUCCCUCUGGAGGAAGCAGCUUUCACCUUGGAAGAAUCUUGACCUUGCCAUUCAAAGUCACCAGACAGGGAAUCUGCCAGUGCCUUGAUCUUAGACUUCCCAGCUUCUGUAACUGUGAGCAAUAAAUGUAUGCUGCUUAUAAACUA
rnacentral:lncRNA from 1 species